AGAUUAGAGCUUGAAAGUAAGCGUUUUAUUUACAUUAAAAAGUAAAUUGUGAGAUUCAAUUUAAUUUGAU
rnacentral:tRNA from 1 species